AAAUAAGCCACUAACCAUUCCAAAAGAUAUUGACCUUCAUCUAGAAACCAAGUCCGUUACAGAAGUGGAUACUUUAGCACUGCAUUACUUUCCAGAAUACCAGUGGCUGGUGGACUUCACGGUGGCUGCUACUGUUGUGUAUUUAGUAACUGAAGUCUAUUACAGCUUUAUGAAGCCCACACAGGAAAUGAAUAUCAGCUUAGUCUGGUGCCUCCUGGUUUUGUCUUUUGCAAUCAAAGUUCUAUUUUCAUUAACUACACACUAUUUUAAAGUAGAAGAUGGAGGUGAGAGGUCAGUUUGUGUCACCUUUGGAUUUUUUUUCUUCGUUAAAGCAAUGGCAGUUUUGAUCGUAACAGAGAACUACCUGGAGUUUGGACUUGAAACAGGGUUUACAAAUUUUUCAGACACUGCGAUGCAGUUUCUUGAAAAGCAAGGUUUAGAAUCUCAGGGUCCUGUUUCAAAACUUACUUUCAAAUUUUUCCUGGCUGUUUUCUGUUCACUCAUUGGGGCUUUUUUGACAUUUCCUGGAUUACGGCUGGCUCAAAUGCAUCUGGAUGCCCUGAAUUUGGCAACAGAAAAAAUUACACAAACAUUACUUCAUAUCAACUUCUUGGCACCUUUAUUUAUGGUUCUGCUCUGGGUGAAACCAAUCACCAAAGACUACAUCAUGAACCCACCAUUGGGUAAAGAGAGUGUCCCUUU
rnacentral:lncRNA from 1 species